rfam:Ictidomys tridecemlineatus contig047287, whole genome shotgun sequence.
GAGGUUAUGGCUCACUGGUAGAGCGCUUGCCUAGCAUGUAUGAGGCCCUGGGUUCGAUCCUCAGCUUCA